rnacentral:tRNA from 1 species
AUUGACGAGGCAGAACCUGGCCAUGCAAAAGAUCUAAGCCCUUUCACUAGGGGUUCAAAUCCCCUCGUCAAUU